rnacentral:rRNA from 1 species
GAAAGGCGGCUUUUUUGGUCUGUAACUGACGGUGAGGCGCGAAAAGCGUGGGGGAGCAAAACAGGAUUAGAUACCCCUGGUAGUCCACGCCGUAAAACGAUGAGUGCUAAAGUGUUAGAGGGGUUUCCGCCCUUUUAGUGCUGCAGCUAACGCAUUAAGCACUCCGCCUGGGGAGUACGGUCGCAAGACUGAAACUCAAAGGAAUUGACGGGGGCCCGCACAAGCGGUGGAGCAUGUGGUUUAAUUGAAGCAACGCGAAGAACCUUACCAGGUCUUGACAUCCUCUGACAACUCUAGAGAUAGAGCGUUCCCCUUCGGGGGACAGAGUGACAGGUGGUGCAUGGUUGUCGUCAGCUCGUGUCGUGAGAUGUUGGGUUAAGUCCCGCAACGAGCGCAACCCUUGAUCUUAGUUGCCAGCAUUUAGUUGGGCACUCUAAGGUGACUGCCGGUGACAAACCGGAGGAAGGUGGGGAUGACGUCAAAUCAUCAUGCCCCUUAUGACCUGGGCUACACACGUGCUACAAUGGAUGGUACAAAGGGCUGCAAGACCGCGAGGUCAAGCCAAUCCCAUAAAACCAUUCUCAGUUCGGAUUGUAGGCUGCAACUCGCCUACAUGAAGCUGGAAUCGCUAGUAAUCGCGGAUCAGC